CGCCGUGUUCACAGCCGCUUGCCUUCGGGCAGUGUCCUUCCCAGGCACCCUGCACGCAGUAUGGAGCUGGACCCUCUGGUCGCCGCCUCCAGUGCUCACUGCGGACCCGGUGGUCGUCACACGCCAACAUCAACUUCAAGCCAUUCCUCGCUUUAGCUCUGAGAUCUGGAGCCAUCUGGAUUUAAAAGUCAAAUGCGGCUGCCGAGGAGGAUCUCCCAGAAGCAUUAUUUAGUGGGGAAAGCAACAUGCAGCACAGGAACUCUGAUGGACACAGAUGCGCUUAGGUGUAGCAUGGUGCGUGCAGAACACAAGGCACUAGCAGUUUCAGGAAGGGGACUGGACGAAGGGUGGAAAGAAAGACUCAUUUUUCACUGCAUAUCCUUUCAUUCCGAUGUGUUCGCACGUCGCGCCGCAUGUGUUUUUUAUUAACUGUUGGGGGGGAACAAAAUAAAACUCAGCUCGCUGCCGCCACACACGCGUGCCCCAGGCUUGUCCUGCAAGAGCAGUUUCUCUGCGGAUACGGAUCUGGAAGGACUGUCCUCGCUGCCACUUCCUGACCUGUUCUCCAUCCUCUCAGGUUUUCCCAGAGCUCCCCUCCGAGUUGCGGGACCCUGGAGCAGUCUCUGCCUUGUUAUGGACUCUGGGGCUUCCCCCUCCACCAGGUGCAAGCAACUAGAGGGCGGGAUCCCGGCUCCCUCUGGUGUCUGGGAGCGAAAGGCGAUGGGUUCUGAGACUAGAAACCUGGCCCAGUCCUGCACCAGCUACAGCACCCGGGUCCUGGUGGUUCGCACCUGCCCUGGGCUCCUGGCUCUUACCCUAGGUGAGCUCAGAGCAACCUCAGAAGGAAGGACCACUGGGUUAUGUUUCACGCGCCCUUAAGGAGCUGCAGGUAUUCGUGAGCCGGGCUGCCCUGCAGCAACUAUUUUCAAGGCAAUAACUUGGAUGGGAUGGAGGGGCGAGAAGAGGGGUCUUUGGUCAUAGCCACAGAAGGCUGACUUUCACAGGAGACAAACAGAACACCAGCUAGCUGUCCCUUGAACAAAUGAGAGUUGAUCUGAAGACAUGGCAGGAGGAGGUGCGGCUGCCAGCUUCCUGCAGAGCUCAGUUUUGUCCCAGAUGCAGGCUCUGUUUUCCAGCCUCCACCAUCACAUGCACUUGGCAUUGCCUGUUUGAUACUUUAAAAAUCAAAGUCUCUGGAAACAUACAGAGAAGGCCUUGAACACCCUUCCCUCCUGUCCUGCCGCUGGAGGGCUGUCCUCCGGGUCUCUGUCUGCAACCACCACUCUCCUUCCUUAUGGCACCUAGGGAAGGGGCCUUGCCUGGAGGAGUGUGGUUCCUGGGGUGAGUGCAACCCCAGACUCCAGGCCCCCAGAAUGUGCCUCCAUGGAAGCCUGUGAGGGAGGAGGCAUCCCCUCUCCUCCCUGAGCCAUGAGUCAGCAGGUGACCUGGGUUGGGCCCCAAACCCACAACCCUGGGGCUUAGAAUUCGUUUUUAAGUUGAGAUAUAAUUUGCAUAUCCACCAAAUUCACCCUUGCUAAAUGCUUGAUUCUGUGGUUAUAGGUUGAUUCUCAAAGCUGUGUGCACCCUCACCACCGUCUGAUUUCAGAACAUUCCUAAUGUCCACGAAGAAACCUAGGGACAUCCACCCCCAGUCACUCCUCGCUUCUCCCCAUUCCCCGGGGCCCUGGUGGGGACUAAUUUGCUUUGCAUCUGUAAGGACUGGCCUCUUCUGGAUUUUCACAUGAAAAGAAUCCUCUGGCAUGUGAUGGUCCCUGCCCCACUUUUUUCUCUUCAUGGCUGAGCAAUGCCCUGCUAUAGGUUACCGUGUCUUCUUGAUCCACCAGUUGAUGGACAGUAGGGCCAUUUUUGGCUGCUAUGAGGGACUUUGACUCCUGAGUGACUUGCAGCCAGGGGGUCACUUGGUGGUCAUUUUUUUGGCACAGCGAUAGAUGGCAGAGGAGGCUGGGUGGUCUCCCUGGUGACAACCUGGAGGGAAUCUUCCUCAUUUCCUGUUUCCUCCUCCCUCACCUUAGGGAGCUUCCUUGGUCCCUUUAUCCUCAGCCCUGGUCUCCCAGCCUUCGGCCACCUGAUGGAGUCCCCACCUCUGAGAAGCAUACCUACUGUACCCCUCGGGGUCCUGUGCAUGCAGCACAGUAUUAAAGUGUAUGUUGGCUCUCAAAA